rnacentral:rRNA from 1 species
UACAGAGGUCUCAAGCGUUGUUCGGAUUCAUUGGGCGUAAAGGGUGCGUAGGCGGCGCGGUAAGUCGGGGUGUGAAAUCUCGGGGCUUAACUCCGAAACUGCAUUCGAUACUACCGUGCUUGAGGACUGGAGAGGAGACUGGAAUUUACGGUGUAGCGGUGAAAUGCGUAGAUAUCGUAAGGAAGACCAGUGGCGAAGGCGGGUCUCUGGACAGUUCCUGACGCUGAGGCACGAAGGCCAGGGGAGCAAACGGG